GGACAACAGUUGGAAACGACUGCUAAUACCGCAUAAGCCCACGGAUCCGCAUGGAUCUGCGGGAAAAGGAUUUAUUCGCUUCAGGAUGGACUCGCGUCCAAUUAGCUAGUUGGUGAGGUAACGGCCCACCAAGGCGACGAUUGGUAGCCGGACUGAGAGGUUGAACGGCCACAUUGGGACUGAGACACGGCCCAGACUCCUACGGGAGGCAGCAGUGGGGGAUAUUGCACAAUGGGGGAAACCCUGAUGCAGCGACGCCGCGUGGAGGAAGAAGGUUUUCGGAUUGUAAACUCCUGUCGUUAGGGACGAUAAUGACGGUACCUAACAAGAAAGCACCGGCUAACUACGUGCCAGCAGCCGCGGUAAAACGUAGGGUGCAAGCGUUGUCCGGAAUUACUGGGUGUAAAGGGAGCGCAGGCGGACCGGCAAGUUGGAAGUGAAAACUAUGGGCUCAACCCAUAAAUUGCUUUCAAAACUGCUGGCCUUGAGUAGUGCAGAGGUAGGUGGAAUUCCCGGUGUAGCGGUGGAAUGCGUAGAUAUCGGGAGGAACACCAGUGGCGAAGGCGACCUACUGGGCACCAACUGACGCUGAGGCUCGAAAGCAUGGGUAGCAAACAGGAUUAGAUACCCUGGUAGUCCAUGCCGUAAACGAUGAUUACUAGGUGUUGGAGGAUUGACCCCUUCAGUGCCGCAG
rnacentral:rRNA from 1 species